rnacentral:tmRNA from 1 species
GAUCUUGCGCUUGGUGGAUCAAAGCCCCAUAUCUAAGAUGUCUCUUCGGGGACUAUGGAUAUAAACGAGCGUGUUAUUAGCUGGGCCGGACCGGGGUGCGACUCCCCGCAGCUCCACCAAAAAUCCUUUCAUUUGAAGGACUAUGGGGCUGAAUUAGGAUCGACGGACUGUGAACGGGCGUGUCUUUAUCUCGGUGAGUUACCACCGAUAUCGGUACAAACUGUACAAUUGCAAAUGACAAUCGUGCUCCGAUGGCGAUGGCUGCGUAAGCAGUCCUAACUAUCGAAACUUAACUCCCUAGGAUUAGCGUCUUAGGGCGGGGUUCGCAGGUACCUGGCAACAGAAACCUGCACU